GAGCGCCGGCAGGUGCGCGCCGUUUGAAAGCAUGGCGCCGGCGGCGCGGCUGGUGCUGUGUGAGGAGAAGAUCCGGGAGAAGAGCGGCCUGGCGCCUCACUGCGACCUGGCUGAACUUCAGUCAUUAUCUAUUCCUGGAACUUACCAAGAAAAGAUUACUCACCUAGGAAGUUCUUUCAUGAAUUUAAUGAGUCUGAAAUCUCUAGAUCUUUCGCGAAACUCCUUGGUUAGCCUAGAGGGCAUCGAGUACCUGACGGCGCUGGAGAGCCUCAACCUCUACUGCAACCGCAUCUCCUCACUGGCAGAGGUCUUCCGGCUGCGCUCCUUGGCGGCGCUCUGGGACGUGGACCUGCGGCUGAACCCCGUGGUCAAGAGCGAGGCCGACUACCGGCUCUUCGUCGUGCACAUGCUCCCGGGGCUCAGGCAGCUGGAUGACCGCCCCGUGAGGGAGCGCGAGCGCACAGCGUCCCGGCUGCGCUUUGCCUUGGAGGAAUCGCCGGACUCAAAGCAGAGCUUCCCAGCUGUUUUCGGAGUCGAGAGGCGGUGCCCCUCCAGGGCCAAGGGUCCUGACCCCUCAGCCACGAAGUGCUUGGUGAUGGAUGCAGACGACGAGGCGGUCCUGAACCUCAUCGCCGAGUGCGAGUGGGACCUGAGCAACCCCCCUGGCAGCACGAGCUCCAGCCAGAGGGAGCCGGAGGCCAGCAUCCAGAGCUCCCAUGGGUCGCAGCAUGUGUCGAGCCCUCACUUGGUGCAGCAGCAGUGCGGGGACUCCCUGAGGAAGGGCCCCGAGAAGAGGCGGAGCCCCCUGCCCAGGGCGGGCGGUGCAGGGCCCAGGCUGCGGGACCUGCGCCCUCCCCGCUGCCUCCCCGCGUCCCCAGAGGCCACAGACAGUGAGGACUCGGCCUCCUCUUCUCAGAAGUCAAGUCUGUCGACACAGAAGGCCCUGGAUCCCUUGCCUGCUCCCGAAAAGUUCAGGAAGCGAAGAAUGCCAGGCGGGAGCUUCCAGACGCCUGCGGACCAGGAGAGUCUGAGCUGCCUGGGGGAGGGCCUGGGCCGGAGGAAUGGCUCGGGGGGCUGGAGCCAGGGCACCGUGUCCCACUCAGCGGCCUUGGCGCCCGAGCCGCAGAGGCCCCUCAGCGAGAGCGAGGUGUGUCCCAGGCUGCCCUUGGCUGUUGCGCCUGGCAAGAGGCCCGCCCUGGAGGGGCUGCUCCUGGAAGCUCUCCUUGACCUGGUGGACAGGUACUGGAGUGGCUGCAGGUCGCUGCACGGCAACGAGCUGUUCCUGGCUCAGGCACGACACAUUUUGUCAUCUCUUCAAGAAGUUACAGCUGCUCAGGACAGUUCAACCACUGUGAGUGAAGAAAUUGGCUACCUGACUCUGGAGAAUAAGUCUUUGCACAGUCACCUGGGCGAGCUGCAGCGGCAGUGUGGUGCGAAGCUGAGCGAGGUGGUGCUGGAACUCGGCAGCACUCGGAAGGAGAUGGAUUACCUGCGGCAGCGUCUAGACAGAUCUCUGGACGAGAGCAGCAGCCUAAAGUCCCUCCUGUGCAGCGUGAAGAAAGACGUGAGGGGCGCCGAGGCCCCAGCCGCGCUGACGGCGCAGAUCACUGACCAGCGUGAAGAGGCUUUCUGGCGAGAUCGUGGAGCUGAAGCAGCACCUGGAGCACUACGACAAGCUCCAGGAGCUCACCCAGAUGCUGCAGGAGAGCCACAGGUCCCUGGUCAGCACCAACGAGCGGCUCCUGCAGGAGCUGGGCCAGGCACGGGCGCAGCACCAGGCGGAGGUGGAGCAGCUGCACUGGAGCUACCACGAGCUCAAGAAGACCAUGGCCCUGUGCCCCGGCCGCCCCGGCCCCGGCCCCGGCCCCGGGGGCUGCUAGCCCUGGGCUCCGGCCCCACCAGCCGGCGCCCUCAGCGUCUCUCUCUGGAGGUGGCCGGCGAGCCUGGGCCUCAUGUCCUGAAACACCCUAAAAAGACAGGCUCGAGCCGGGCUCCUCUCCUCUUUGAAUGAGACAAACAGCAUUCAGUUUUCAUCCAGUAUCUUGAGGUGGAGAAAAUGCUGUAUUUCUCUGCCUAAUGGGCGAGAAAGCAGCUCUAGGGCUCCAGUUCCUCGGCACCGGACUCCCAGGCCUGGCCCGCCCCUAACUCGGGUCUCCUUGGUUCUCUGGAGCUUCAUUUGAUGGUCUCUGCUGUCCAGUCGGCAUUGACAGCUCUUUUCUUCAGGCACCAUGUCACGUCUGCCUGGGCCUUGACGCCCUCGGCUCCACUGCUGGCCUCAGGGCCUGUCGUGAGGUUGGGCGAGUGGCUACACGUGCUGUCCUGGGCCCAGCCCAGCACGCCGUCCGCACAGCGGGACUGCGGCUCUGAGGACGGCCAGCCUCUGUCUCCGGUGCUAUGCGCCUUGCGCUGCUGCUCUUGCCGGGACGGACGUUGUCACUCUCUCGUUGCCCUGUGGUCUCAGGAGUCUGUAGAUGAUGGUAGCCGUCCCUUCCCUGCACUGUGCCUGGAAUUUUCUUUUUUAGAUUUUUUCCCCAUUAUGGGUUAUUACAGGAGAUUGAGUAUAAUUCUCUGUGUGUACGGUAGGUCCUUUUUAGUUUUAUAGAGAGAGGGAGAGAGCAGUGUGUAUCUGUUAAUCCCAAACUCCUGAU